AGAAAGCUAAAAAAAAAAAAUUUGAAACGCUUCAAAAGUUAACUAAAAAUCCAAUUGUCAUAAAUUACAAAAAAAAAAAAGCGUUUAUUUUUAAAUUUAGUGCCGAAAAAUAAUAACGUAAAAGUGUAAGCUAAGUGCCACUGUGAAGUUAUAACCAUAUCAACGGUCCGGUGACUAAAGCUCUGUCCUGUCUCCGCCCAACAAAGAUAUAGUACCCGCCACGCCUACACCCACACACCCGCCUCGAAGAACUGGACGCACAACAACGAACUGGACGCAGCACACA